AUGACCCAAAAUUCAUUCUCUGAGGUUGCUGACCUUUUUUUGGGGCGUUUUGGGGUUUUUUGGACAGCCCCGGCUCUGCCCGUCCCGCUGGUGGCCGGGUGCGCCGCCGCCGCCGCCGCGCUCCUGGGGCUGCUGGGGGUCGUCUGCUACUGCCACAGGAGGAGAGGGAGGGCGCACUGGAAGGGGCUCUACAACAAGGAGGACCCCGGCACUUACCCCAUGACCGGCGUCGACAGGAGCGAGGCCUGACCUCCGUUUUUGGGGAUGACAAAAAACCCAAUUUUCUUCUUUUUUCCCCCAAAAAUUGCUCCCCCCGGUGUCGGCUUCCGGGGGGUGGGGCGUCAAUAAAGAGCGCGGGGCGGCCGAGACGGCCGAAAUGGAUGAAAUGAGCCCAAAAUGGGGGCGUGGGGGACGCCGUUGGGUUGGGUUUUGGGUUGGGGUGAUUUGGGGUGAUUUGGGGUGAUUUUGGGUUGAGUUGGGGUGAUUUGGGGAGAUUUGGUGUGAUUUGGGGUGAGUCGAGGUGAUUUGGGUUGAUUUGGGGUGAUUUGGGGUGAUUUGGGUUGAGUUGGAUUGGGUUGGGUUGAUUUUGGGUUGAUUUUGGGGUGAUUUGGGUUGAUUUGGGGUGAUUUGGGGUCGAUUUCGGUCGAUUUGGGUUGAUUUGGGGUUGAGUUGGGGUGAUUUGGGUUGAUUAAGGUUGAUUUUGGGUUGAUUUGGGGUGAGUUGGGUCGAUUUGGGUUGAUUUUGGGUUGAUUUGGGUUAAUUUGGGUUGAUUUGGGGUGAUUUGGGGUGAUUUGGGGUGAUUUGGGGUGAUUUUGGGCUGAUUUGGGUUGAGUUGGGUUGAGUUGGGGUGAGUUGGGAUGAUUAAGGUUGAUUUGGGGUUGAUUUGGGGUGAGUUGGGUCGAUUUGGGUUGAUUUUGGGUUGAUUUGGGUUAAUUUGGGUUGAUAUGGGCUGAUUUGGGAUGAUUUGGGCUGAUUUGGGUUGAGUUGGGUUAAUCUGGGGUGAGAUGGGAUGAUUUGGGGUGGAUUUGGGUUGGGUUGGGUUGAUUUGGGGUUGAGUUGGGGUGAUUUGGGGUUGAUUUGGGGUGAGUUGGGCUGAUUUUGGGUUGAGUCGGGGUGAUUUGGGUCGAUUUGGGGUUGAUUUGGGGUGAUUUGGGGUGAUUUGGGUUGAUUUUGAGUUGAUUUGGGCUGAUUUUGGGGUGAUUUGGGGUGAUCUGGGGUGAUCUGGGGUUGAGUUGGGGUGAUUUGGGGAGAUUUGGUGUGAUUUGGGGUGAGUCGAGGUGAUUUGGGGUGAUGUGGGGUGAUUUGGGUUGAUUUGCGGUGAUUUGGGUUGAUUUGGGUUGAGUUGGGUUAAUUUUGGGUUGAGUUGGGUUGAUUUGGGGUGAUUUGGGGUGAUUUGGGGUGAUUUGGGGUGAUUUGGGGGUGAUUUUGGGUUGAGUUGGGUUGAUUUGGGGUGAGUUGGGUUGAUUUGGGGUGAUUUUGGGUUGGGUUAGGGUGGGUUGGGUUGAUUUUGGGG
rnacentral:lncRNA from 1 species